AAGACUAUACUUUCAGGGAUCAUUUCUAUAGUAAUAAGUUUCUCUGAUCAUGUAGAGCACCGGAAGCCACAAGGAUGAGCCAGAGCAUCCUCUUCUGAGUGUGAAGUUGGCUCUAGGUGUAGCUUCUGCUGACUGCCUUUGGCCAUUGAUGAUCGUUCUCCCUUUUCUCUGGAAAGUGUAGAGGGAAAGGAUGCAGUCUGAGUGGU